GCCAAUCUAUUUGUCUCAAUCUAUAGAUUUUAAUAUCUUCAAAUAUUUGUAUGAUAUUAAAAUCAAAUGGAGUGAUAAAGAAAACCUCGAAUCGCUGUGAAUGCAUUACACAAGAAAAAGAUCUGGCCGUCUAUGCAGUGUCCGUACGAAAAUAGCAAUUAAAGUAGUAAGGGAAAGAAUUUGAAGAAAUUAUGUCAGAAAGAAAAAAACUCUAUUUCGCGAGAUGAAGAUACUUGUAGCUUCUAGAAUAAUAUCGCGUAUUUAAAAUAGAUGACUCAGGACUGGCACCCUAUUACCCAGAUGCACUGGGCAUCACUGAAAUGAUAAUUUUAUAAAGAAUAUUAAAUAAAAAAAACUACUUAAACGCAAAGGGAGGUCAUAGAAAUUAUUUGUUACGGUAUCAAAACAUCGGCAAAGCAUAUCAAGAAACCAUUCUUGAGAAUGGUGGUUAAGGCUCUGAACAACCCAAUGUUCCAUAACCAAGAAUGGUCCUUUCAGCAAGACACAGAGCCAGGUCAUUAAGUUCGAACCGAGUUGUUCCGAAAUUCAUCAAAGCUGAAGGCUGGCUGUCAUCUAGUACCGAUCUUAAUCCUCUGGAUUAUAAUUUAAGGUUAUAACAAUUUGGAGUUGCUAAAGUUAUCCAUAAGAUUGUCGUUAACGAAUUUGCCCAUGGAAAGAGUGCGUGCUUCUAUUGAUAACUGGAUCAAUGUUUAAAGAACUAUAUUGCAGCCAAUGUAGAUCAUUUAUAUAUUUUAAACGUUUUUAUAUCAAACUAACACAUAUUACAGUUAUAAAUGUUGCAUGCAAUACAAAAAAAUAAAGAUUUUGUAACAAUAUUUAUGGCACAAAUAGGUAGGCCGUUGCCUAAAUGGUAAACGUUGUUACCAGUUACUGAUCUGAUGGAUCGUCACGCUGUUUGUCAUUCUAGUUAUAACAAAAAUAUAUAUAGUUAUACAGAUUAAUAUCAUGCAUUGUAUUUCUUAAUAAUAAAUAACAUUUUAUUUAUUUUUAAAUCUAUACAAUUUGUAUCAACAUUAUUUAAAUACAACAUAACGCCAGAAACCCUUUUUAUACCACUUAUGGCCAAAAUAUUUCGUUAACGAAACGAAGCUUUUAUAAAUAACGUAAAUGCUUUGGCCGGGUGUGUAACCAUAUGAAAUGUGCACCAGAAUGUCCAUUGAAGCAGUUUUACCUUGUUUUCAUAGUUCCUUCUUCAGAACAACACACGAUUAGUUUCAUAUCCCUAAUCCCUAUAAUAAGGAAGUAAAGGGAUGAUAAUCCCUAACCAAAACAUCUUGUUAACAGAGUAUAAUUCCUUCAAUAGACAUUGAUGCAGAUUUCAUAUGCUUAACCGGUCAUACCCUUUUCUAUAACAAUAGUGGAUUUCCUAUUUUGACAACUAUCCUAUCAGAUGCGUAGAGCAGAUUUUUUAAUAAAUUUAAUAUCGACAUAAA